rnacentral:rRNA from 1 species
GAUCAUGGCUCAGAUUGAACGCUGGCGGCAGGCCUAACACAUGCAGGUCGAACGGUAACACAGAGGAGCUUGCUCCUUGGGUGACGAGUGGCGGACGGGUGAGUAAUGUCUGGGAAACUGCCCGAUGGAGGGGGAUAACUACUGGAAACGGUAGCUAAUACCGCAUAACGUCGCAAGACCAAAGAGGGGGGACCUUCGGGCCUCUUGCCAUCGGAUGUGCCCAGAUGGGAUUAGCUAGUAGGUGGGGUAA